rnacentral:tRNA from 1 species
GCCUGAGUGGCUCAAUGGUUGAGCGUCUGCCUUUAACCCAGGACGUGAUCCUGGGGUCCUGGGAUUGAGUCCCGCAUCAGGCU